rnacentral:rRNA from 1 species
AUUGAACGCUGGCGGCAGGCUUAACACAUGCAAGUCGAGCGGAGAUGAGGUGCUUGCACCUUAUCUUAGCGGCGGACGGGUGAGUAAUGCUUAGGAAUCUGCCUAUUAGUGGGGGACAACAUUCCGAAAGGAAUGCUAAUACCGCAUACGUCCUACGGGAGAAAGCAGGGAUCUUCGGACCUUGCGCUAAUAGAUGAGCCUAAGUCGGAUUAGCUAGUUGGUGGGGUAAAGGCCUACCAAGGCGACGAUCUGUAGCGGGUCUGAGAGGAUGAUCAGCCACAAUGGGACUGAGACACGGCCCAGACUCCUACGGGAGGCAGCAGUGGGGAAUAUUUGACAAUGGGGGGAACCCUGAUCCAGCCAUGCCGCGUGUGUGAAGAAGGCCUUAUGGUUGUAAAGCACUUUAAGCGAGGAGGAGGCUACUGAGACUAAUACUCUUGGAUAGUGGACGUUACUCGCAGAAUAAGCACCGGCUAACUCUGUGCCAGCCGCCGCGGUAACAC